AUGCUUGUUGUCUCACUUAAGAUAGGAGAUCAUUGUUACCAUGUCUUAUGUGAUUUGGGUGCUAGUGUGAGUGCUAUCUCGUUUACCUUAUAUCAAGAAAUUAUGAAUGAUAUUGCUCCUGCUGAAAUAGAAGACAUUGAUGUUACUAUUAAGCUUGCAAACAGAGACACUACUACACCACUUGGGAUUAUUAGAAAUGUUGAAGUCUUGUGUGGAAAAAUAAAAUACCCUGCUGAUUUUCUAGUUCUUGAUUCUCCACAAGAUGAUUUUUGUCCCAUAAUUUUUGGUAGACCUUUCUUGAAUACUGUUAAUGCUAAGAUUGAUUGUGGUAAAGAAACUGUCAGUGUUAACUUUGGUGAUAUAUCUCAUGAGUUUAAUUUCUCUAAGUUUCGUAGACAAACUCAUGAUAAAGAAUUGCCAAGUAAAGAUGAAAUUGUUGGUCUUGCUUCUAUUGCCGUACCUCCUGCUAAUCCGUUAGAAAAAUAUUUGCUAGACCAUGAAAAUGAUAUGCACUCGAAUGAGAGAAAUGAAAUAGAUAAGACGUUCUUUGAUUAA
rnacentral:rRNA from 1 species